UCCUAAUUUAAGAUUAUCGGAAGAAUUGUCCAUUUUGCGUGAUAUUCCUUCUUCUGUGGCAUUCAGCGGACAGACAGAAAGCUCUGGAGAGCUCCACACUCUCUCUGUGCGUCCUGGGGUCCAUGAGCAGUGCUACAGCGCCCACUAUUUCAACAAGCAGGAAUAUGAUUUCACAAGAUCUGGAACCACUCAAUAAAAAAAAAGUUACUAUCCCUUUCGACAACUCUUCGCUAACUUUCCUGUAACAAUUCUCUACGGUUUCUCGACUUCGCUAAAACAAGAGAGUGAAACAACGCGGCGUGGAAACGCGCUGCUGACCAUUUCAGCCCAAGCACCAUCACAAGAAACUUCUGAAUAAGCACACCACGGCAGCAUCUGGUCUAAAGGCUGGACGCGUGGAUCACGGAGAGUUUGGGCGAUUUCGAUGCAUUUGAGAGCUGAAAAACACACGCACCGGACACAGAACGCGCUCUCAGCAGGAACUGAUCAAUGAAAAUGACACUUUGGUGAUGUGCGCGAGGGUUCAAAGUACCGGGAGCGAAAGAAGCGCAAGAAGGACCUACUUUUGGCCAGUUUUCUCGCCCUCGCCUUGGAUCUCAUCUUGUCGGCUUGUAGAUUCCUCGCGUCCUCCUUGAGCUCAGAAGCAGCAGCAGCGCUAUCUUCAUCUCACGAGCAUUAUCACUUAUCUCUUUCCCUCCUCCUCCUCUCGCUCCGCAACAUCUCAGAUCUCCCCCCACCUCCCCUUCUUGAGCACUUGAGGAGGAAUAAGUGCUAUUUUCCAGGGACCUGCGGAAUCCGGCACGACGCUGGACACUGGAUCCUGGAUGGGGUCAAGGUCGCAGCCCUCAUACGCAAGAUUGUUGCCAUUUUCCUAUGGUUAAGCACAGGAAGGGAGGGAUGCUGGCCCGGAAGAGAGGUGUUCUGCAAACCAGGCCCCAGUAACAUCCACGGAGUUUUUUUUUGUCCUCUCUAUUAAUCAGGGACAGAAUUGAAGAGGUUUGUCAAUAGAGUAUCAAAUCAGUCACAAGCCUAAAUAAAUCCCUGUAAUUUUAAACGUAUUAAACCAUGAUAUGUCUGAAUAUGUCUACAGUUGUAAGUGGAUUUUUUUUAAAUAAACUUACUAAGUCAAAUAAAAUGUAUUCAGGCACCACUG